AGUGAACGCUGGCGGUAGGCCUAACACAUGCAAGUCGAACGGCAGCACAGUAAGAGCUUGCUCUUACGGGUGGCGAGUGGCGGACGGGUGAGGAAUACAUCGGAAUCUACUUUUUCGUGGGGGAUAACGUAGGGAAACUUACGCUAAUACCGCUACGACCUACGGGUGAAAGCAGGGGAUCUUCGGACCUUGCGCGAUUGAAUGAGCCGAUGUCGGAUUAGCUAGUUGGCGGGGUAAAGGCCCACCAAGGCGACGAUCCGUAGCUGGUCUGAGAGGAUGAUCAGCCACACUGGAACUGAGACACGGUCCAGACUCCUACGGGAGGCAGCAGUGGGGAAUAUUGGACAAUGGGCGCAAGCCUGAUCCAGCCAUACCGCGUGGGUGAAGAAGGCCUUCGGGUUGUAAAGCCCUUUUGUUGGGAAAGAAAAGCAGCAGGUUAAUACCCCGCUGUUCUGACGGUACCCAAAGAAUAAGCACCGGCUAACUUCGUG
rnacentral:rRNA from 1 species